GGAUAAAAAGCUUCAAGCUGUUGAAUUUGAGUUGUAACAAUGCUGCUCUUUGACUUUGAUUGUUCUCUUUCUUUGCUAACAGCAGCCAAUCUGGAUUCCUCAGUGCCGCUUGUGAAAAUAAUAGACCUGUACUGGUUACCCACAUCAGGACCUUGCCCAAAGACUUGCCUGGAAUCAUGGCUAGACCAGAAGACCUCCAAUAGUUGUCUGAAACCAAGUACUCGGGGGUCAUACUCGACCUGUACAGAUUCAGCGUGGUC
rnacentral:misc_RNA from 1 species